rnacentral:rRNA from 1 species
UUGGAGGGCAAGUCUGGUGCCAGCAGCCGCGGUAAUUCCAGCUCCAAUAGCGUAUAUUAAAGUUGUUGCAGUUAAAAAGCUCGUAGUUGAAUUUCGGGGUUAGUAGGUUGGUCGUGCCUCAGGUAUGUACUGAUCUCACUGAUUCCUCCUUCCUGAUGAACCGUAAUGCCAUUAAUUUGGUGUUGCGGGGAAACUGGACUGUUACUUUGAAAAAAUUAGAGUGUUUAAAGCAGGCUAACGCUUGAAUACAUUAGCAUGGAAUAAUGAAAUAGGACGUUCGAUCCUAUGUUGUUGGUUUCUAGGAUUGACGUAAUGAUUAAUAGGGAUAGUUGGGGGCAUUAGUAUUCAAUUGUCAGAGGUGAAAUUCUUGGAUUUAUUGAAGACUAACUACUGCGAAAGCAUUUGCCAAGGAUGUUUUCAUUAAUCAAGAACGAAAGUUAGGGGAUCGAAGACGAUCAGAUACCGUCGUAGUCUUAACCAUAAACUAUGCCGACUAGGGAUCGGAUGAUGUUAAUUUUUUAAUGACUCAUUCGGCGCCUUACGGGAAA